rnacentral:tmRNA from 1 species
GGGGGCGAUUAGGAUUCGACGCUGGUGACAAAACCCAAGGUGCAUGUCGUGAUGGUAGCAAUCACGUAAAUCCAAAGCUGCAAAUUUAUAGUUGCAAAUGAUGCUAACUACGAUGGUGCUCAACUAGCUGCGUAAGCAGUUUUUUGAAAACCAUUUCUAGUGACUUCGGUCCUAGCGGUCUCUAACAAGGUGUCUGUAUCGCGUUAUUGACUGUCAUAUAGAACAGAAUCGCAGCAACUCACACUCAGGGUUUCGCUGUUAAACUUUAACUGAGAUCGCCAAUUACGUCCUGCCCGUUGGGCUGUAUGCGGUUAAACUAAUUAACGGAAACUAAACAUGUAGAGCCGAGGACGGAGUGCUGGCGGACGGGGGUUCAAAUCCCCCCGCCUCCACCA